rnacentral:rRNA from 1 species
UACAGAGGGGGCAAGCGUUGUUCGGAAUUACUGGGCGUAAAGGGCGCGUAGGCGGCCUGUUAAGUCGAACGUGAAAUCCCCGGGCUCAACCCGGGAACUGCGUCCGAUACUGGCAGGCUUGAAUCCGGGAGAGGGAUGCGGAAUUCCAGGUGGUAGCGGUGAAAUGCGGUAGAUAUCUGGAGGAACACCGGUGGCGAAGGCGGCAUCCUGGACCGGCAUUGACGCUGGAGGCGCGAAAGCCAGGGGAGCAA